rnacentral:lncRNA from 1 species
AGUAUGUAUUCUAUGUUACUUAGUAAUAUAUAUUUAUUUAGAUUAAUUUUUUAUGUUAUUAUUAUUGAAGGUUUAAUGUUGUUUUUAUUGUGCUAUCCUAAUUGUUUUUAUAUUUUUUUUUCAAAUUAUAGGUGUUUAACGACUGUUUUCCAUUCACAAAUUCAGGCUUUAGGACGUCUGUUCAAGAAUUUUCACUUUGAAUUUUUG